rnacentral:rRNA from 1 species
GACGAACGCUGGCGGCGUGCCUAAUACAUGCGAGUCGAACGCAUUUUCUUUCACCGUAGCUUGCUACACCGAAAGAAAAUGAGUGGCGAACGGGUGAGUAACACGUGGGUAACCUGCCCAUCAGCGGGGGAUAACACUUGGAAACAGGUGCUAAUACCGCAUAAUUCCAUUUACCGCAUGGUAAAUGGAUGAAAGGCGCUUUUGCGUCACUGAUGGAUGGACCCGCGGUGCAUUAGCUAGUUGGUGGGGUAACGGCCUACCAAGGCUGCGAUGCAUAGCCGACCUGAGAGGGUGAUCGGCCACACUGGGACUGAGACACGGCCCAGACUCCUACGGGAGGCAGCAGUAGGGAAUCUUCGGCAAUGGACGCAAGUCUGACCGAGCAACGCCGCGUGAGUGAAGAAGGUUUUCGGAUCGUAAAACUCUGUUGUUAGAGAAGAACAAGGAUGAGAGUGGAAAGUUCAUCCCUUGACGGUAUCUAACCAGAAAGCCACGGCUAACUACGUG